rnacentral:lncRNA from 1 species
UUCAUUCCGUGACUGGCGGAAAUGGUUACUCUGCCAAAAAAGAAAAAAAAAGAAAUGAUUGCAGUAGUGUUUGUUCAUAAACUUCAGCAUAUGGACUCAGAAAACAAAUUUCUAUGAAAGUCUAGAAUAUGCAAUUGCUUCCAGCACGUCCACGUAUAAAAUCACCUGAAAGCAUAGAUAUGCUUUUGUGACCAAUUCUUCUGAUGUUUCACAUAUUGCCUAUUUAACUAGACCCUAUAUGUACCAGUUCAGGUAACCACCAUGUAGACAUCCUUUCAGUUCAUGUCUAUGCUUAUACUAGAAUCCCUUUAUAUGCAAUUCAUGUUUGAACAGAGACAGGAAAAUAUAUUCAUCUCUUAUAUCUCAUACUAAUCAGCAUAAGCAGCAAGACCAUAUUCUUGAUAUAGCUGAUAUUGUCUAGUGGCUGAUAUAUUAAGUAAUACAUAUUCUUUCCUUUUGUUUAAGAACCUUCUAGUAAUCAUAAGUGUCUGGAGGGUUUCCAUCUCAAGAAAUGACCAAAUACUUUUUCCUGCCACCAAUUGUUUCUCACCACCAUCAAACUUUUUUGAGGGCUUAAAAAGUAAAUUUUUUCAUUUCAAUUUUUGUACAUCACAUGUUCUUCUUUUCAAUCAUAGGAUUUAUGUUCUAGAGUUUCAUAUAUUAUCAUUUCCUUUAUCACUCAAUGUGUGAGAAUAAAAUACUUCAUGCUUUUAAUUGCUUAAGUUAGAUUAACUUGCUAUGUUACAUAAAUCAUCUGUUCAUACAAAAGAUGACACUCAUGUCUCAUUUCAAUUAAUAGUAAAUUCAGUCAAAGAAUUGAUGUGAACUUGGACAAAAUCUGGGUUACCUUAUUUCCUUUAUCAUGAAGGUAUCCUCAGUGAAUGAUGACAAACACAAUACUCAACAAUUUGAUAUUAAUGGAGCUAGUACAUUAGUCAGAAAUGAUUUCACUUGCUGCAUUAGUA